AGAGUUUGAUCCUGGCUCAGAACGAACGCUGGCGGCAGGCCUCAAACAUGCAAGUCUAGGGGGUGUAGCAAUACAUCACCGGCGGACGGGUGCGUAACGCGUGGGAAUAUACCUAUUGGUUCGGAACAACUGAGGGAAACUUCAGCUAAUACCGGAUAAGCCCUUACGGGGAAAGAUUUCUCGCCAAUAGAUUAGCCCGCGUCCGAUUAGCUAGUUGGUGGGGUAAAAGCCUACCAAGGCAACGAUCGGUAGCUGUUCUGAGAGGAAGAUCAGCCACACUGGGACUGAGACACGGCCCAGACUCCUACGGGAGGCAGCAGUUGGGAAUCUUGGACAAUGGGGGAAACCCUGAUCCAGCCAUGCCGCGUGAGUGAUGAAGGCCUUCGGGUUGUAAAACUCUUUCGACGGGGACGAUAAUGACGGUACCCGUAGAAGAAGCUCCGGCUAACUUCGUGCCAGCAGCCGCGGUAAUACGAAGGGGGCUAGCGUUGUUCGGAAUUACUGGGCGUAAAGCGCGCGCAGGCGGUCUUCCAAGUCAGUGGUGAAAGCCCGGAGCUCAACUCCGGAAAUGCCAUUGAAACUGUGAGACUGGAGUACGAGAGAGGUGAGUGGAAUUCCCAGUGUAGAGGUGAAAUUCGUAGAUAUUGGGAAGAACACCGGUGGCGAAGGCGGCUCACUGGCUCGUAACUGACGCUCAGGCGCGACAGCGUGGGGAUCAAACAGGAUUAGAUACCCUGGUAGUCCACGCCGUAAACGAUGAUUGCUAGCCGUUGGGCAGCUUGCUGUUCAGUGGCGCAGCUAACGCAUUAAGCAAUCCGCCUGGGGAGUACGGCCGCAAGGUUGAAACUCAAAGGAAUUGACGGG
rnacentral:rRNA from 1 species